rnacentral:lncRNA from 1 species
CCUUGUUUAUGUUCCAACUCUCUUACAUGAAUAUUGGAAAAACUGUAGCUUUGACUAUAUGAACCUUUGUCAGCAAUUUAGUUAUAACUUAAAAAAAUGAGAGAAAAUUCUGCUGUAUAUUUGUUUUAAAUAUAAAGAUUUCACAAUAGUUGUAUCUAUUUAGUAGACUAAAAUGUAUCUCUUUAUGUAGCUCCUGGUAGAAAAUUAGAUGAAAAUCCUCUGCUUAAGAAUGAAACACCAUCAGAAGCUAAAAACGGUUGUUGAAACCAGGAACUGCUAGAGCAAAUAGACGCAAUGGUAAGAAUUAUAGAUAACUUUUAAUUAUUUGGGCUUCCCUUGUGGCUCAGCUGGUAAAGAAUCCACCUGCAAUGCAGGAGACCUGGUUCGAUCCCUGGGUUGGGAAGAUCCCUUGAGAAGGAAAAGUCUUCCCCACUCCAGUAUUCUGGCCUGGAGAGUUCCAUGGACAGUAUAGUCUGUCGGGCUGCAAAGAGUCAGACACGACUGAGCAAAUUUCACUUUAAAUUAUUUGAAGUUAGGCUCAUUGAAAGAUAUUUUUCUUUAAUUUUCAUUAAAUAAUGGAUAAAGCAACAAAGAUCAGGAUAGAGAAAAAAUUGAACAACACCUUAUAAAUAUUUGUGCAUGUAUUUUAUAGAAGUUUUAUGCCUUGAUGUAAGUAUAAAUACCCUAAGAUAACUAGAAAACUAAAUGAAACCUUUGGUCAACUUUUGUUUGGUAUUUGCAUGGUUAAUGAUUAGUAUAUAACAAGACUGCCUCCACAUACACUCAUGAAAACUGCUCACUCAAAUUGCCUACUUCUCUUCCAGGGUCUGUCUGAAUAUGUAUUAUAAUUCACUGCUUUGCAGUCCUCCUCCUUUAGUGUUGCACGAAUUGAAAGAAACUUUGCUGCUUACUUGGUAUAUUCAGAAGUUUUAUAAUAGAUCCAUUUUUCUAUUUAGCGUUUCUUAUAACAGAGCCAAAAGCUAUAACUAUUGAUGAUCAACUGCCUGAGGAUAUAGCUUCAGUUUUAAACAGGCGGUCUCAAGUUAACCUUGAAGCUUCAGGAAGUGGCAGUUUUGAUACUCGUGAUGAUGUAUCAGAUGAAAGUCUCAUGUUUAUGCAGCAAGACUUAAAGUUAGAAACAGAAAUUCAUGUAGAGAAACAAAAAUCUUCUGGACCUGAAAGUGUCACUAGUGAUAAAGUACCAGAUGAAAAUCCUGUGCUUGAGCAAGAGUCAAUGUCAGAAACUCAACUGGAAGUAAAGAAACAAAGACCUUCUAAAGAAAGAAGACUCAGUUGUAAGUAUAAUAAUUAUAGAUAAUGUUAACUUAUUUUUAAUUAAACUCAUCAGAUUAUUUCUCUUUGGCUCAUGAGUAUGUAUUUGAAAUAUGCUGUAUAGAAG